ensembl:lncRNA
CAGGGACCCAAAGAGCCACGGUGGGUCUCCGGGCCAGUGUGAGCCGCAGAUGUGCCUCUCAUUCUCCAAUCCUCCUCCAGACAAAUGGAAACACAAACCUGCACCUCGCAAAGGUCAGGUCCCUUGCAGGAUGGAGCCAGGCGUCUCAUUGUUAUGGAGACCAGGUAGUUAUCUUACCUCCUUCCUCCCUCUCCUUGCCCCCCAAUUCAGAACGACCCCUGGGGACCAUCUGGGAAUAAGAAAGAGGCUGUUGCUAAGCAACAGGGAGGGCAGGGCAGCUGCUUCUCCCAGCUCCAGGAGCCUUGGUUAUAAGGUGCCAGUGAAGGCGCUUGAUCUGAUGGGAUGCUGCAUCUUGCAUGAGACCAACAUGAUUCGUUUCCUCAGUCUCUCCUCCUACCCACGGUCUUCAUGGAGAAAUUCUACCCCUGUCCCACCAUCUGUCGCUUCUCCCACCUCUGCGGUCACAGAGACAAUCCUCCUGGGCCUGACAGCCCGUGGCAGCGCACAGAGUGCCUUUCCCCCGGGCUUUGCCUUGUUUCGCUGCGCUAACCCCGCUGGUGCUCACAGACAUUUAUUCCUCAAACACAGCCAGGAGCCCCAACCUCUGCACCUGAGCUGGGGGACCAGAGUCGAUGGACUGGUUUUCUUUUUCUUUUCUUUAAAGAAAAUUGGAACAUUUCAAAGAUAUUAUCCCAUUCAUGACCAAUAUUCCAACGGGAGCAAUUUGGAUAAACAGUAGGUCUUUAGAGGUGCCUGUCUGGUUAGGGGAUAUGGGGCACUCCGCUCACACAACAAAGGGCAGCUCACAACAAUUUCCGCAGGGCUGGGACCAGGUGCAGAGCACACAGCAGGGAAAGUAGGCAGGCCUUGCAAAACGGAACCAGUUCUGGGUCCCAGGAGUGGGUAUGCGCUGAAUAGCAGGUGAGAGCAGCAAAUCACAGCAAUGCUGCCAAGGCAAAUUAUUCCUGGUCUGAGCAGAGCAAGGGGGAACCUGACCCAGGGUGGGCUCCCAGUCUGCGCUGUGUCACUUCACGUCAUCCUAACAACGUUUGGGAAAGUGUCGUUUUAAUCAACAUACAGAUAAAGGGGGAAAGACUCGUCUCUGGGGACACAUUGAGUAUGUGACCAGCCAGAGGUUAAAUUCACGCCUACAUGAGAAGCUUGGGCCCUGACAGCCACUGCCUUAUUGAGAUGAUCGACCACGAGGCGGACACAGUUUCCCGUAGGGGGAAACAGAGCUUCAAGUCAUCGCCCUGCCUCUGCUCUGGUUAGUUAAAAAGCAGUUCUAACUGCACGCUUUGGGUAGAGCAUAUAUUCUUGGCAAAGUGCUGAACUCAUCAUUUUGGGAAUCAGGAAAGGAAAUUUUAAAGAAUUGUAAGAUGAAAAUGCGGUAGAUGAAACAAAUGUUUAUUUUUGCUCCCUCCUGAGCUCAACAAAAAUGGGGGUAAAGGAAUUUUAAAAGGUGAAAAUCCACAAAGACAAAGAGCACAGGAAAGGGAACAAAAGUGGUCAAGAGAGUUGUACAAAAUUCAAGAAGCUGGAGAGUAUAUGAACAGGGUAGAGCGGCAAGGGCUGAACACAAGUACUCACCGUGGGAGAAGUCAGCCGGCGUCUAGGGGCAAAGCUGAGCUCUCAAAGCCCAGGGCGAGGGAGCCCAGGCACCCCUGGAGGCAAUGCUCAUGUCGGGGCGGAAGACAGGAAAACCGGUUGAAAUUCCUUAUCAGGAACAAAAUCCCCACUCCUAGGAUUUGAGAAAGCCAGGGAGAGUGUGGACUGGGGUUCUUCAAAUGUAGCUGAGGAUGGGGGUGAAGCCCUGUACUGGAGACAGAAGGGGGAUUGUGGGAAAAUCUUUGCACUGAGUGGGAGACCAUGAGUCCCUUCCUGCACACGUCCUUUUUGCAAAACAAGCACAUGGCCAUGUUAUUCUAACACAGAGUAGGAAUCUACUUUUCUAGCCACUAAUCUACAGGCUGUCUCCCCUCUGCACAUAAGGGGAGAGAUCUCCUGUGUCCCAGGUCACCGCCUUCCUACAGAUGUGACCCGUGUCCUCUGAUUUAGGAAGGGCAGCAAAGGUGAUUCCAUGACAAGCGAACACAUGGCCCCUCAGACAGGCCUCUAGUUCCUAAAUGGGGAAAGAUAGAGGGACUCUUUGCGGGAAUAUGUUCUUUCAUCUUUGUGCCUCGAUUUUUUUGGAGAACAAGUGUCUGGUGAAAGAGAUGUGGUACAGUCUGAACACGUUUGCCUCAGAGGAGAACUAGGUAAUCCCACUGAGGUGACAAAAAGGAAAGAACACCGUUACACGGGCUUCACAAUGGAAAGGUUUUGAGAAAUCUGUGUGCAAGAGAUGAAAUGCUUCCCUCUGAAACAUUUACUGCCUUUGAAGAUGGUAAUGCAUCCAUGGCUCUGUGAGAAAUUCCAGGUCAAGGGACAUUUAAAAAAAAAAUAGGAUUGAACAAAGGGAGGAUUUUGAUGAUUCCGUUUAAUUCACUAAAAUCUUGUCGAGGGCCUUCCUUUAAAAGCCACAGCGCCAGGCACUUGGGGAAGUUACAACGUGAAUAAAACAUGGUCCCUGCCCUUCAAGAGUUUAAUGCUUUGUAGGGGAGAAGACAUCACAGACACAAUAAGGCAUAAAUUUAUGGGAAGUGUCGUGAAUAAAUGGAAGAAGAGGUUACUUCUGGCUGGAGGAAUCGGGGGGCCUCAUAUGGAUGGUGAUGUAUAGCUGGAUGCUAUCAGGAGGGUAGAAUUACACUCACUCCCUUGAGUCUGCGGCUAGCUACUUGGAAACUAGCUGGUGGAAGGUGGGAAGUGGGUGAAGGAGAAGUAGCUUGGAGGCUGGAGAACAACAGUGAGUUUGGAGCACGUAGAGGACUCGAGGGGAGACACGUCGGUUUAAGAACAGACGUCUUGGCGGAUAAAGCAGAAGAGGGGCAGGUGGGGACAAGAUGGCAGAGGGAGGGGCUGUGCUUGGAUUUGACCUUUAUCCACGUUUCCAUGGGAGUCACCUGGAUCUAGGGGGAGGGGACGGACACUCAGAAUGCAAGAGCCAUGGGUCUCAAGGUUAAGACGAUGCUGGAAGUUCUUCUUUGUUUUGUAUUUCCUAUCUUGAGGAAUUUUGCCAUGUUUUAUCCAGACUUUUGUAUUUACGUAAUUGCUGCCUAUUUUGACAUCUCUAGCACAUUUCUGACAAAUAUAAAAUGUUUCCUCCUCUAAGACAUGGUGGGGACACAUCCUGGAAGCCCAAAUCUCACACACAGAGUCUCACUCGUGUUCCUUGUAGAGCCCUGCCACUCAUACCAUUAAACGAGGAAGAAAAGGUGCCCAGAGGCUGCAGACUUGCCCUCAUUUCUGUCUCUGCCGGGCUUUCUAGAAAAGGCACCAGCCUUCAGCCGUGCUCCGAGGCCUUCUCGCCCCUCAGAAAAGCUCCCAAGAAUAAAUAGAUGUUAGUUCUGAAGCAAGUGCUACUUCAAUACUCAGCAGAAAUGUAUUUUUCCACCUCCCAACCCUCGAGAUACAUAGAGCACGGCUGCAGGGGGUUCCCUUCAGAUGAGCUCCCUAUAACGCCCAGGACUGGAUUGUCCUUCCCCUGAGAAUGGACGCCUCCCCAGGGCCGUGUGCUUUGAACCCUGUGGGUCCCCAUGUCUUCCAUCAGCAGGCUGGAGUCUGGGUCCCUGGUCUCAUGGUGGAGGGGUUGCUCUGUGACAGGUGUUACUCGGGACGAGCCCAAGAGAGAGGUGUGGCAGGGAGUGCUUGGGUAAAGGUAACACAGUAAGCCCCCUACAUACGAACCUUCAGGUUAGAAACUUUCAAAGAUGCGAACGUGUGUUCACAUGUCCAAUCACGUAAGUUAGUUCACGUGUCUGGCAUACAUUUUCACGUGCGUGCAUCCUCUCCAAGUGGUUGUGCUUUUGUGUACUUUACUGUACAAUACUGUGUAGAGUCCAGUAUCUCUAUUUCAAGCCCAGGAUGUCCGGAAGCAAGCGUAAAAGCAGCGGUGAUGUAGCUGGUACUACUGUACUUUUCAAGGUACUGUCCUGUAAGAUUAAAAAUGUUUUAUUUUUUGUGUUUGUUUUUAAUGUAUUAUUUGUGUGAAAAGUAUUAUAAACCUAUUACAGUACGGUACUCUAUAGCCGACUGUGUUAGUUGGGUACCUAGGCUAACUUUGUGGGACUUAACAAAUGCGCUCUCAGAACAGGACUCGUUCAUAUGUAGGGG